AUACGGAAGGUCCGGGCGUUAUCCGGAUUUAUUGGGUUUAAAGGGAGCGCAGGCGGGAGGUUAAGCGUGCCGUGAAAUGUACCGGCUCAACCGGUGAGUUGCGGCGCGAACUGGCUUUCUUGAGUGCGUACGAGGAAGGCGGAAUUCGUGGUGUAGCGGUGAAAUGCUUAGAUAUCACGAAGAACUCCGAUUGCGCAGGCAGCCUUCCAGUCCGUUACUGACGCUAAAGCUCGAAGGUGCGGGUAUCGAACAGGAUUAGAUACCCUGGUAGUCCGCACGGUAAACGAUGGAUGCCCACUGUCGGCGAUACAAUGUCGGUGGCCAAGCGAAAGCGUUAAGCAUCCCACCUGGGGAGUACGCCGGCAACGGUGAAACUCAAAGGAAUUGACGGGG
rnacentral:rRNA from 1 species